rnacentral:rRNA from 1 species
AACGAACGCUGGCGGCGUGCCUAACACAUGCAAGUCGAGCGAGAAAGCUCCUUCGGGAGUGAGUAAAGCGGCGCACGGGUGAGUAACACGUAGGUAACCUACCCUCGAGCCUGGGAUAACCUACCGAAAGGUGGGCGUAAUACCGGAUAUGACCACGGGAGCCACGGCUCCUGCGGUGAAAGAUGGCCUAAGCUUGCAAGCUAUCACUUGAGGAUGGGCCUGCGCACCAUAGCUAGUUGGCGGGGUAAUGGCCCACCAAGGCUAUGAUGGUUAGCUGGUCUGAGAGGAUGGCCAGCCACACUGGGACUGAAACACGGCCCAGACUCCUACGGGAGGCAGCAGUGGGGGAUAUUGCGCAAUGGGCGAAAGCCUGACGCAGCGACGCCGCGUGGGUGA